AGUGGUCCGCUAUGACGCGGGGCGUGAUGGAGAGUUCUUUUGCCAAAUGUGACUCACCCUCGAUAUAAAACCGCAGAGCGAGCCACGCAGUACACAUUCCGCACCAGUCCGCCGUGCAAGCACAUUAUAUAUAAAUCAAUCGUCAAUGUUUAUAAACGGAGUCGAAGUUAUCAGUUCCCGUUUGGAAAACAUAAGUUUAAUACAAAGAAACAUGCAGCCUAAAUCGGAAAGACCGCCAGUGUGCCCGAAGGGUCAGCUACCCCUUCUGCACCUGACACCGUCGGGAAACGCUCAGAAGAAGUCGGACGGCAGUCCGAAGCCAGGAACUGACAACCCUUGCCUGCUGAAGCCGCAGCACGAUAUCCCGCCAACCCCGCCCCCGCAGACCAACCCCCAGCCCCUCGAGUUUUUCCCGCAAAGAAUAGGGUAGCUUCGACCCAAACAAUCAUCGAAAUAGCGCUCAAAUGGCAGAUUGCCAUUUUGUUGAUACACGGGCUUCAAUAUAAAAAUAUGCCUCUGGAUCUACGCAAAUGUCGGAGCCGGGGGAAGUCUGGCCAAAUUACUACAUGCGUCAGCAGAUUUUUGUGGAUUUGCCUAUUAUAAGCUCACCUUUUGUUUUAUCGGUGAAGCGGACAAGUCUGAAGCUAGUUGACUGUAGGCAUGUUUGAACAAUGUGCCGCUCUCCAAGUGCAGAAUAAGUGUAAACCAGGCCACUAUUUAUUGUGUUAAGGGUAGAUCUAAGUACGCGGGUAUUAUGUUUAAUGCGCAUGUGUUCCCAUGAGCACAUUCAAGUUGUGGUGUUAUCUCUCAAAUACGUAUCGAAUGAUAAUAAUUAUAGUGUAUGCUCAAGGUAUUUGUUCUAGAUUGAUAAGAAUUAAUAUUGUAUAGGAAUGGUAUUCUAUACUUUUUAUGUCAAUUGUGCUAUGCAUGCGAAAUUAAAUAGUGAUAUUAAUUGUUUCUCAAUGAAUAAAUAAGUAUUGAAACUGUG